rnacentral:tRNA from 1 species
GUCCAAGUAGCUCAGCUGGAUAGAGCAACGGCCUUCUAAGCCGUGGGUCCAGGGUUCGAAUCCCUGCUUGGGCA